GCGGGAUCUAUACAUAGCUUUAAGGUGUGAUAGGGUUCACGACGCUUGGAGAGAGCGAAUCCAGGAAUGGCUAGUUAAAGCGGCCGGACCAGGGGCUGAGAAUCGACCUCUGCAACACAAGCAGCAUGGAGUUGGUCCUUCAUUUGCAGAUAAAACAGAACCAGUUCGUCGACGAAUUGAUUCGUAUAAUAUUUGAACAGCAUCCAGGGGCACUUUGAGCCAUUCCUCAAACAAAACGUGCUCUAAUUCUUCCAAACACGACGGUAGAGGAAAUCGGCUCCUGACUUCAUGUUAUUGCCAAUUUAAAAAAAAAAAACGCUAAUGCUGUGAACUGGUGCGUUAUCGUCUUGGAAGAUAAAACAUUUAACACAUGUAUAAUUAAUUGAUUAUUCAGUCAUUCGACAGUAUUUUAGUUAUUUCAAUAUGUUUCUGAAGAAUAAUUCUUAUAAAAUCAUCAAAAGGACGAUCUCUCAUUAUUUUAUGAGAAUUAUUCUUCAGAAACAUAUUGAAAUAACUAAAAUACAGGAUAAGGAAGCAUUCAAAAUAUUGAGAAAAAAUAAUCUUUUAAUCAGGCCAUUCCAUCAGAAUGGAAACACAGUA